AAACUUGGUCUGUGAAGGUUUGCUGACAAUAUUCAGGUAACAUGUGACGUAAGUCAUCCGUCACUUCUUUGUUUCACUGAGCUCAGUAACUCAGUGUAGCCUAGUGAGGUGAACAGAGGCCCUAGAAAUAGAUCCUCCUGAGUUAGAAUUCUUGCACUGACAUUCACUAACCGUGUCCUCAGGGUGGCAUCUCACUUUCUGAGACUCAUUUACUUAAUCUGUGAAAUGGCUCCUUUGACCCGACAUGGCCAUUGUGAAAUAGAUGCUUGGUGGGAUAUAUGCUUCAGUUCCCUGAAGUUGACUAAUGUGGUAACGAAUCUCUCUCUAAGUUACUCAAAAGCAAACAACUCUCACUUCUUCUCUUUUUCAUUCUAUUUUUUUCAAGCAAAAACAAAACAUAUCCAACCUUUAGCUUACAGCAAUAACCAAUCUCAAGAGAUUGAAGCAUAUUUCUCACUUUAUGAGGUAGAUAAAUCAUUCUUUGAAAUCAAAAAUCAGUUCACUACGAGGUACUGGCCUCUCAGUUGUCACCAUGAUAUGACCUGCCCUUUCCCAAACCAUUGCUCAUUAGCAUUCAGUAAUAACAUUUGAGGGAAUCAUUAAACCACCUGCCAUUGUGGGGGAAUAUACAUAUAAAAUUAAAGAGGUACAGGCAAGGAUUCCAACUGUUGUUUUGUUGAACACUGCAGAUGACUGUAGCAGGUGCAGAUGGACACGUUGAUUGCCAAUUAAAAUAUCUGUAAGUGAACAAACAACCCAGCACCACUACCACCAUGGCCAAUGGCAAACGAUUCCUGUAUCAUCUGCCAUAACAAUCUAUAUCUCUCUCACUGAAUCUUUGAUUUAAAUAGUCAUCAGAAUUAAUUUGCCUUACUCCGAGAGGAUCAAAGAGGUGAGUUACAUUAUUUACAUCUCAGCCACCUCAUUUGCCAUAUAAGAUUAUAAAUGAUUCCUGUUCUUAAGGGAACACCAAUGAGCACUGCUUUAGAAAAAAGUCACUACCAUGUGUAUAACUCCAUCUUAAAGGACCCUCACCAUUUCUCUGAGCACUUCUGGAUGUGAAAGAUGGCAGCAGUUGUGUGAAAAUACUUUAGCUAAGGUAUAACAUGAGAAACAUCUCUAAUAGAAAAUAAAUGAUAAUUGAAUAUAUUUCAAAGAGGGUGCUAUUGACAUUCUGGUAGUGAGAUAGUUCUUCAUUUGAAGGAUAUUCCAGCACAUUGAAGGAUGUUUUGCAUCUCUGCCUUCAAUGCUUUUGAUCAAUUAUAAAAUACCGCCCCCCCAUGCACAUACACAUUUCUAAAUGGCUCUCUAGAGAACGUUGGUUUCCCUGGUUGAGAACUACUGGGAUAAGGCAAAUAGGGGCUCAUCUGGACACUAAAAGCCCAUUUUUAGAAUCCAAAAGAUCUGGAUUUGACCCUUUGGCCACGGGCAGUACUUUACUCCAUAGUCUUGACAGCCUUGGACAUAUGCGUGUUACUAAAAAUCCAUAUUGACCUAAAGGUAAGAGAAAGGUCGCUAUUGUAGUGAAUAGUGAUAGUGGUGGUAACUGUGGAUGAAGCAGUGCUGGUGUUUGUUGCAGUCCUCAUAGGAGAGGCAGUAGUUCAGGUGUUUAAGAUGCUACCUGUAAUGCCAGCCAUAUUGCCUGAGUUGGAAUUCCAGGGCCUCCGUAUACUAGCUAUGACAUUUGGGCCAAUUCUUUAUGCUUCAGUUUGCUUAUGUAAAAGGAAAAUGUUAAUAGUGCAUACCUUAAUAGUUUGUUGGAAAAAAAAAAACCAACUAAAUAAGUAUAAAUGCUCAAACUUAAUCAGGUUUGGAGAGGCCUGGGAAUUCAGUGGAGAUGGAAGGAGAAGAAUAGUUCCCUUGACACUCACUUCUCAAAUCUUGAGCCAUAUUAGUUUCAGUUGCUUUUGUCCUCCUGGCUCCAUAUUAAGCAGUUAACUAGUCAUUUUCUCACCAAAGAUAUGUUAGGAAGGCCCAGUGGAAGGUGCUGUGGAUCUCUGAUAAUUAAACCUGGCUCAGACAGCUUGCACUUACAAGAGAGUUUAAUAUUUAAGAUGCAUUUUAGAUUCUAGCCAAAUGUAAUUCAUCUUUAGUACACCAAAUAGCCACGAUUAUAAGACCUCCUCUAAAAUAUAGUCCAACAACGUGAAGCCUGCAGAGAGAGAGUGUGUCAACUCCUAAAGCGGAAAGAACAAAACUGUUAAUAGUCCGUCUUCAAUACACCCUCAGAUACUUACAUCUCCAUCCAAAAGAAAAGAAAUUGUCAGGAUGUUUGUCAUGUUAACCACCUCAGGACUAACAAAGUAUGUAAAUCACUUUGAUGAAUGGUGUUUGUUUGUUAAUUUUUCCUCCUGAGCAUAAAAGGCGUAUAUUUUGUUUUGAUUUUCUAUAUAAUCCUCAAACUUUAUAUUACAAUAUGAAUGCUAAAAGACAACUGGGAAUUGAUUUUUCAAAGAGAAAUUUUAGGCUGUUAUCUGGUUAUUUUAUACUAAAUUUGCAACACCUACUCAUAAAUGUAUCAUUGAUGAUCACCGUAUUAUGUUGCUUCUUAGAAAAUAUAAUUGCUAACAGACAGAGGUGUGGUGUCCUACGAUACACAGUGGUUAUUUUUUUUUAAACAGAGAAUAAUCUUUCAUAAUGAUCCUUUUUUUUUUUUAUUUUUGCUUUUUAGGGCUGAACUCACAGCAUAUGGGAGUUCUCAGGCUAGAGGUGGAAUCGGGGCUGUAGUUGCUGGCCUACACCACAGCCACAGCAAGGCAAGGUCUGAGCCACAUCUGUGACCUAUACCACAGCUCAUAGCAAUGACAGAUCUUUAGCCAUUGAGCAAUGCGAAGGAUCAAACCCUCAUCCUCAUGGUUACUAGUCAGGUUUGUUAUCACUGAGCCAAACCAGGAACUCCAUAAUGACACAUACUUCAAAAGGGUGAUUUCAUUCCCGUUCAUAUGCCAUUCAUUUAUUUAUUGACUAUGUGAUCUGGGCCACAUGACACCGAGUCUGGCCAUGCUAAAGAUGGGGGAAUAAAUUAAAUUGACUAUAUCCACAAACCAGUUUGGAAGAAUCACAUAUUUGAUAAAUGCACUACACAGGGAAAAAAGCAACAGAGAAAGGAAAUAUCGGGGUGUACGAGAUGGGGUCACGUGGGAUAGAUGGUGAUGUCUUAACAUGUCUUGCAACGUUAUUUAUAUAAAUAACUGAGAAAAAUCAGACAAUUUUAAAACUAGUCUUAUUUACCCAUACACAUCUAGUCUUAUUUACUAACAUACCAGAUCAUUGUUUAGUAAGGACAUAGGAAAAUGCAGUCUUACCGAUUACACAAACAAUGGCUCAGUGCCUCCUGGCCAUAUUCUAGCCCUGGAGUCUUAGGCAAGUUAUUGUACUUUCUUAAACUACAUUUUUUUUUUUUUCCGUUCAUGGAGGAGGUGAAACACUUACCCCUUAGGGUUGCUGUGAAGGUUAAAUGCAGUGAUUCCUACAAGAGUGAAGGACAAUUUAAAAAGUAUGUAAUAAUUAUUAGCUAUAAUUAUCUUAUGGUCAACAAUUUUUCUAUUUAGGAUUUUAUCAUAAAUACACUUUUCUGCUUUUAAAUUAUUCUUUAUUAUAUUUUGCUUCUUUGAAAUGCCUAUACUUCCUCAUUUCUAUUGAAAGCUGAAGUCUUAAAAUGUUAUCUUCUCUUGAAUGCCUUCUCAGAUUUCUUCGAAUUGUAUAUAUGUAAUAAAUCACUCUGGACCGUGUUACAUUUUUUUUUUUUUCCCCAAAGCAGUGUCUGCAAGGACCAGGGUGCAUCAUCUUACUCAACAUAGUGCCUCAAUACAAAACACCAGUUGAAAAAUGGACUGUCAAUACUAUUGUGUCGAAAUAAAUUAAGCUGUAGGCAGACAGCCACUGAGUUUUAGUCAUUCAAAUUUUGUGCAUUCUGUAUUUCCAUGCAUUAAACAUCAAGACCAUCUAAAGCAUAUUUCUGUACCAACUUCAGACUGCUUCAGUUUAGGAAGAACACUUUAAUCCAUCGAACAAUGGAUUCACUAACAAGCCAGCAGUUCAGUUUAUAUGCAUCACCACCUCAGCUCAUAAGGCAUUAUCCAUUUGUGGAAAUAUUUUAAUAUUUUAUUCACGUUACCUUUAUUGCUUUACACAAAUGGAACAGAUAAAAAUGAAAUUUCCUAGACUGGUGAGGAAAAGUGUAGGUUUCAUAAACUCAAAACAAUUAAGCCAAGAUGGAGAUCAUUAGGCUUGCCUCAACUUUAGUCUCUAUCAGGUGCUCACUGGCCUUAAGCCUAAUCAACCGUGUGUUCAAUUACAAAGGAAAGGAUUAAACUAAAGUGCAAAACACUGGAAAUGUAACAUUAAACAAUGUGCCUAAAAGAUGAGCUGCCAUUUGGGCUUUUGUAAUUGGUUGUAGCAAAUUGGGAAUGAAACACCUAUUAGAAUUUGUAAGUUUUUCAUUUGGCUCGUGAAUAUUUAUCAUAAUAUGAAAGUUGAAGAUAACCUAAUAUUUUAUUCCUUUUUGUAAAACAACAAAUUGAAUUGAUGUAAACUUUAAAUGGCCAGAAUUUAAAGGCAUAAAUCAUACUGUGCAUCCUCAAAUUUUACUUCUUCUUGUAUUAUUAUUCUGACACUGUCAGUUUUAUCAAUUAUGUGAAGAAGUUUUUAGCAUUAGUAAAAUUAUUUCAUAAACCAUUUUCCUCUGUUCUAAGUGUAUCUUAGCUAUGG
rnacentral:lncRNA from 1 species